GAUGAACGCUGGCGGCGUGCCUAAUACAUGCAAGUCGAGCGAACAGACGAGGAGCUUGCUCCUCUGACGUUAGCGGCGGACGGGUGAGUAACACGUGGAUAACCUACCUAUAAGACUGGGAUAACUUCGGGAAACCGGAGCUAAUACCGGAUAAUAUAUUGAACCGCAUGGUUCAAUAGUGAAAGACGGUUUUGCUGUCACUUAUAGAUGGAUCCGCGCCGCAUUAGCUAGUUGUUAAGGUAACGGCUUACCAAGGCAACGAUGCGUAGCCGACCUGAGAGCGUGAUCGGCCACACUGGAACUGAGACACGGUCCAGACUCCUACGGGAGGCAGCAGUAGGGAAUCUUCCGCAAUGGGCGAAAGCCUGACGGAGCAACGCCGCGUGAGUGAUGAAGGUCUUCGGAUCGUAAAACUCUGUUAUUAGGGAAGAACAAAUGUGUAAGUAACUAUGCACGUCUUGACGGUACCUAAUCAGAAAGCCACGGCUAACUACGUG
rnacentral:rRNA from 1 species